rnacentral:sRNA from 1 species
CUGGAAGGUGAGGUGCACUCGGUCGCAG